GACGAACGCUGGCGGCGUGCUUAACACAUGCAAGUCGAACGGAAAGGCCCUGCUUUUGUGGGGUGCUCGAGUGGCGAACGGGUGAGUAACACGUGAGUAACCUGCCCUUGACUUUGGGAUAACUUCAGGAAACUGGGGCUAAUACCGGAUAGGAGCUCCUGCUGCAUGGUGGGGGUUGGAAAGUUUCGGCGGUUGGGGAUGGACUCGCGGCUUAUCAGCUUGUUGGUGGGGUAGUGGCUUACCAAGGCUUUGACGGGUAGCCGGCCUGAGAGGGUGGACGGGGACAUUGGGCCUAAGAUACGGCCCAGAAGCCUACGGGAGGCAGCGGUGGAGAGUAUUGCACAAUGGGCGGGAGCCUGAGGCAGAAACGCCGCGUGCGGGAUGACGGCCUUCGGGUUGUGAACCGAUUUCGCCUGUGACGAAGCGUGAGUGACGGUAAUGGGUAAAGAAGCACCGGCUAACUACGUG
rnacentral:rRNA from 1 species